UGCGUAGGUGGCCAAUUAAGUCAAAUGUGAAAUCCCCCGAGCUUAACUUGGGAAUUGCAUUCGAUACUGGUUGGCUAGAGUAUGGGAGAGGAUGGUAGAAUUCCAGGUGUAGCGGUGAAAUGCGUAGAGAUCAGGAGGAAACACUCCAGUGGGACGGAAGGCACGCUACCUGGACCAACAUUGACACUGAGGCACGAAGCGUGGGGAGCAAACA
rnacentral:rRNA from 1 species